CCUGGUGCCUGAGGAUGGGUUGGGAAGGGAAUUCCUGGUGAUUGAGGAUGGAUUGGGAAGGGAAUUCCUGGCGCCUUAGGGAUGGAUUGGGAAGGGAAUUCCUGGAGGAAGGAGGAAGGAAGUCUCUUGCCCCUUAUUCCUGGAUCAGGAAGGGAUUUCCCCCCAUCCCUCCUUCUCUUGGAUCUGCUGCCGGAUUCCGGUGCCCAUUCCCAGCUCUCCCCCCAUUCCAGGUGCAGCUCCAGGUGCAGCUCCAGGUUCCCAUUCCCGGCUCCAGGUGUGAGAUGGCGACUCCGGAGCCCCCCCUGGGUGGGACCCCCCGUCCCGGCCCCUCUCCCGGUCCCGGCCCCUCUCCCGGCUCCAUGUUGGGCCCCUCUCCCGGCCCCUCUCCGGGUUCGGGACACUCGGGACACUCCGGACACAUCCCGGCGCCGGGAUACGCCCCGGAUUCCAUCCACCCCCUGCACAAGGUGAGGCCAGCCCGGAAAUCCCGGCU